rnacentral:rRNA from 1 species
AUUAGACUACCCGGGUAGUCCCAGCCGUAAACUAUGCGCGUUAGGUGUAUCGGUGACCACGAGUUACCGAGGUGCCGAAGGGAACCGUGAAACGUGCCGCCUGGGAAGUACGGUCGCAAGGCUGAAACUUAAAGGAAUUGGCGGGGGAGCACCACAACAGGUGGAGCCUGCGGUUUAAUUGGACUCAACGCCGGGAAGCUCACCGGAUAGGACAGCAGAAUGAUUGCCGGGCUGAAGACCCUGCAUGACUAGCUG